GACGAACGCUGGCGGCGUGCUUAACACAUGCAAGUCGAACGAUGAAGCCUUUCGGGGUGGAUUAGUGGCGAACGGGUGAGUAACACGUGGGCAAUCUGCCCUGUACUUUGGGAUAAGCCUUGGAAACGAGGUCUAAUACCGGGAUAUGACUGGCCUUCGCAUGGGGGUUGGUUGAAAGUUCUGGCGGUACAGGAUGAGCCCGCGGCCUAUCAGCUUGUUGGUGGGGUAAAUGGCCUACCAAGG
rnacentral:rRNA from 1 species